GCUGUGUCCAGGAUUUCUCUUCUUGUUCCUUGCUUUUGGGCUUUGGGGCACUUCACCGCCCAUUAGCAUCACCAUCAGAGGAAAUAAAGAAGGAAGGGGAGCGAAGACUCAAACCUGCUUUGGAAAUGAGUGGCAUUCUAUUAGGUCUAUGAGAUUAGGAGUGAUGUACAGAUUUAAUUUAUCCUAACAUUUCACAUGAAUCAUUAAAAUUUGAUGAUAAGGGAUUUUGUACAGAUGUUAAUUUCAAAGUUCUAUUUUGUAAGUCAGGCAUCAAGAACAUAUAUAGCCAAGGCAAGUCCUAUUUAACUAAAUCUUAAAUGUCUUGAAAGGAAGGGAGCUUACUUUUUUUGAAUGCCUAUUAUGUUCUAGGCACCAACUUAAGUAUUUUAUAUAGGUUACCCCAUUAAUGCUUGCAAACAAUCUGUAGGUAAAUGUUAUUUUCUCCAAUUUACACAUGAGGGAACUGAGGCUAAGUAAGAGCUCAUGCAGUAGGUGAUUUUAAACUUGAAUCCAGCCCUUUUUUGACAAAGGCACAAUUCAACCCAGCAUUUUUUUCGUGCUGCUUUUGCUUUGAAAGUGGGAAUUCUUCAUCUUUGUAUCUUCUGUAGUAUCAAAUACAGUACCUGGGAUGAAGAAAGCAUAUGAUAAAUAUUUUAAAAUUAAAUUUAAUUAUUUCAGAGCAAUUUUUCCAAAAGGAAAUUAAUUUUUCAAUAUAAGGGUCGAAGGUGAUCUUAUGUCUGAAUGCUCUAUCAGAUGGAAGUCAGUGCAUGGGUAAGAAAAAAACUGUUGAAGUGUCUUUUCAUAAAGACUCACACAUUUAUGACAGUUUGUAGAACAGAAUGCUUUUCAAAAGAGUCCACCUGAGGAAUUUGUUACCACUAUAAAGAUUAUUCAAACUUUUCACUUGAUGGAGUUUCCGUUGUGGCUCAGCAGGUUAAGAACCCAACACUGUCUCCCUGAGGAUGUGGGUUUUAUCCUUGGCUUUGGCCAGUGAUUUAAGGAUCCGGUGUUGCCACAAGCUGCAGCAGAGGUCAUAGAUGUGACUCAGAUCCAGUGUUGACCCCGGCUGUGGUGUAGGCCUGCAGCUGCAGCUCCAAUUCAACCCCUAGUCUUGGAACUUCCAUAUGCUACAGGUUCAUCCCUAAAAAGGAAAAAAAAAUUUUGUUUUCAUUUGAAAGCUGUGAUAAUAACAGGAUUGUUAACAGAGAUUAUGAAAGGAGGCACAAAAGAAUUUUUUAAGUGAUAUUUGAAUGAAGUACAGAGGUAUAUUUUCUGGACUCUGGGGGAAUUUGACCCUUUGGUUUUCUUUCAUUCUUUUACAGAAUGAUGGUGGCUUUGUCUCUUUUUCCACCAUCUGUGCCUGAUGAGGUCUUUCACCAGUAAUGGUUACAUUUCACAUUAUCUCUUUUCAGACUCCAUACUCCUGUCAACCACAUAAGAUAUGAAAAGCAUGCUGGGAAGUAGUAGUCUCCUUUAUUUAAAUUAUAUAUAUAUAUAUCCAGAGAAGCGAUAGUUUCAAAGAGAGGUUAGCAGGUUUUCCUACUUUAUGAUAUAAAGUACCUGCAAUUUUUUGGAUAAGGAGCUCUGAAUAAUCCUCUAGUGGAAGAUAAUUCCCUAACAUCCAGCUAUCUAUCCCCCUCAAAUUACAGUUUGCAAUUCCUCACACAAACCAAUUUUUUCCAAGUAUUUAAUCUUCUAAUUAUGUACAGCGACUAAAAUUAUACUUCCUUACUUAUGUUUUAGAAACAUGAUUUUGGAGUUCCCUGGUGGCCUAGUCGUUAAAGAUCUGGUGUUGUUACUGCUGUGGCUCAGGUUCAGUCCCAGACCUGGGAACUUUUGCAUGCUGCAGGUGCAGCCAAAAAAAAAAAAAAA
rnacentral:lncRNA from 1 species